UACGGAGGGUGCGAGCGUUGUCCGGAAUCACUGGGCGUAAAGGGCGCGUAGGUGGCCUGUGGAAGUCUGCGGUGAAAGCCCGGCGCUCAACGCCGGGUCGGCCGUGGAUACUCUCGGGCUUGAGCUUACUAGAGGCAGAUGGAAUUCCGGGUGUAGCGGUGGAAUGCGUAGAGAUCCGGAAGAACACCGGUGGCGAAGGCGGUCUGCUGGGGUAAUGCUGACACUGAUG
rnacentral:rRNA from 1 species